rnacentral:misc_RNA from 1 species
GAAAUGCGAUAAGUAGUGUGAAUUGCAGAAUUCAGUGAAUCAUCGAAUCUUUGAACGCACAUUGCGCCCUUUGGUAUUCCUUAGGGCAUGCCUGUUCGAGCGUCAUUUGUACCCUCAAGCUCUGCUUGGUGUUGGGUGUUUGUCCCCGUCUCCGCGCGUGGACUCGCCCCAAAGUGAUUGGCAGCCGGCGUACUGGUCCCGGAGCGCAGCACAUGUCGCGCAAACGAGUGCCUUGGUACGGCGGCGUCCAUAAGCCCCUCUCUCACGCUCUUGACCUCGGAUCAGGUAGGGAUACCCGCUGAACUUAAGC